rnacentral:rRNA from 1 species
UAGUCAUACGCUUGUCUCAAAGAUUAAGCCAUGCAUGUCUAAGUAUAAGCAUUAUACAGUGAAACUGCGAAUGGCUCAUUAUAUCAGUUAUAGUUUAUUUGAUAGUCCCUACUACUUGGAUAACCGUAGUAAUUCUAGAGCUAAUACAUGCAUAAAAUCCCGACUCACGAAGGGAUGUAUUUAUUAGAUACAACCAGCCCCGUAAGGGUCUUUGGUGAAUCAUAAUAACUGAGCGAACCGAUGCGCAAGCAACGGUGGUUCAUUCAAGUUUCUGCC